UACGUAGGGUGCGAGCGUUGUCCGGAAUUAUUGGGCGUAAAGGGCUCGUAGCGGUUUGUCGCGUCGGGAGUGAAAACACCGGGCUUAACUCGGUGCUUGCUUUCGAUACGGGCAGACUAGAGGCAUGCAGGGGAGAACGGAAUUCCUGGUGUAGCGGUGAAAUGCGCAGAUAUCAGGAGGAACACCGGUGGCGAAGGCGGGUCUCUGGGCCGAUACUGACGCUGAUGCGCGACAGCGUGGGGAGCAAACAGG
rnacentral:rRNA from 1 species